GUGGGGAAUAUUGGACAAUGGGCGAAAGCCUGAUCCAGCCAUGCCGCGUGUGUGAAGAAGGUCUUCGGAUUGUAAAGCACUUUAAGUUGGGAGGAAGGGCAUUAACCUAAUACGUUAGUGUUUUGACGUUACCGACAGAAUAAGCACCGGCUAACUCUGUGCCAGCAGCCGCGGUAAUACAGAGGGUGCAAGCGUUAAUCGGAAUUACUGGGCGUAAGGCGCGCGUAGGUGGUUCGUUAAGUUGGAUGUGAAAUCCCCGGGCUCAACCUGGGAACUGCAUCCAAAACUGGCGAGCUAGAGUAGGGCAGAGGGUGGUGGAAUUUCCUGUGUAGCGGUGAAAUGCGUAGAUAUAGGAAGGAACACCAGUGGCGAAGGCGACCACCUGGGCUCAUACUGACACUGAGGUGCGAAAGCGUGGGGAGCAAACAGGAUUAGAUACCCUAGUAGUCC
rnacentral:rRNA from 1 species